rnacentral:rRNA from 1 species
AUUCCGCCUGGGUACUACGAGCACAGCUUAAAACCCAAAGGACUUGGCGGUGUCUCAGACCCACCUAGAGGAGCCUGUUCUAGAACCGAUAACCCCCGUUAAACCUCACCACUUCUUGUUUUCCCCGCCUAUAUACCGCCGUCGUCAGCUUACCCUGUGAAGGCCUAGCAGUAAGCAAAGUGGGCUCGCCCCAAAACGUCAGGUCGAGGUGUAGCGCACGAAGUGGGAAGAAAUGGGCUACAUUUUCUACAAUAGAAUAUUACGAAUGGCACCCUGAAACAAAUGCCUGAAGGUGGAUUUAGUAGUAAAAAGCAAAUAGAGUGUCCUUUUGAAUUAGGCUCUGAGACGCGCACACACCGCCCGUCACUCUCCCCUCACACAUCAAACUCAAACCAAACAUUCUUAAUUAAACAUUUAUCAGCACGGGGAGG